rnacentral:rRNA from 1 species
UAACACGGACCAAGAAGUCUUCAAUGUGCGCGAGUCAAAGGGCUGUCUAAACCCCAAGGCGAAACGAAAGUAAAGAAAAUUUUUUAUUUUCAUUGGGCUGAUCCGGCUCGGGGUGCGCGGACGGGAUCUUGACGUGGUUCGCCCACUCUCCCGUACUCCCCUCGACUUGCCACCUUAAUAUGUGGACGGCGCAAGCCCGGGGCCCGCGGAGACGUUCCUCUCCGUCAAUGCUCGAGAUUGUCUUUUUUUUCGUCCGUCGCGACGCUUAAACGUUACUCCCAUUAUGAGAACUCCGAGGUACACGCGAUAUUACCCGUGUGUAGGGGCGGUUCUCUUCUUCCUCCUCGUCGUCGUUGGUAGUAGUAGUAGUAUUCCGGCCAGGGGCGGUGGUGGUGGUUGUCGUGGGCGUGUUGCCGGCGGAGACGUCUUCAUCACCUUCAUCGGUGAUGCUGGCGUCUUCGCUUUCGAUGACGUUUGCGGCUGCCUCCUCUUCCUGUUUCUGACGGAUUAUUAUUAUUAUUAUCGGCAUUUGUAGGGCGGCUGGAGGAAAAAAAAACCGCUUUCGGGUAGAGCCUCUGUCCAGAGAGUCGGGAGUAGCAAAGAAAAGCGCCGGCGUGGCGGAAAGAAGCUUUUUCCGCAGGCGCGAGACGGGCGGCGGGUACCUUGAGCGCACAUCGUAGGACCCGAAAGAUGGUGAUCUAUGCAUGACGAGGAUGAAGCCAGGGGAAACCCUGGUGGAGGUCCAAAGCGAUUCUGACGUGCAAAUCGAUCGUCGGAGCUGCGUAUAGGGGCGAAAGACCUAUCGAACCAUCUAGUAGC